GUUAGUGAGUAAGAAAAAUUAGUACACAGGAAAGAGGUUGGCCUCACUGACAUGAUAAUCUUAAUAUUAAUUUAUCAAAUAGACAGUACACUAAACAAUCUUCACUCUACCAGAUGAGCAUUGUUAAUGUACAAACUCUUCAGUUUUAUGGAGUCUAAUUUAGUUUUUUGUACCUCUUUAUAUUGAUGACAAAUUUAAUUUAAUCAAUUUAUUGGUAUGCAGUAGAAGUUGAUCAUUCUCUGUCCGUUUGGGUUUGGUCUUCGGGAUGGAGGAGUUGUCGUGCCGCUGCUUGUGAUUUGUGUGCUUGAGAGGAGCUGCUGCUUGCUUGCAGUGGAGAAAAGAAGCAAUCCUUAGGCGAGGUUCUGAUUGGUGUCUUGAUAAGAUACACUAUAAGCAUAAAGUCCCUUUCAUGCCAUUCUUCAGAUCCUGGCUAGAGGUGAGAUAGCUGACUUCUUCAUUGGUCCGAGGAAUACUGAUGCCAUCACGAUUUUAAGUGGAAAGUCACGUCUAUCUGCGCUGGUGUUAGUGCUUCUGCUGGCCAUGUUGGACGAGUAGCUGAGGCUGACUCCCGUGCUGGUGAUGGCUAUGCUAGAAAAGAAGUGAGAUCAGAUGUAGAUAACGAAUUCAGAGAUACAUAUUCAGAUUUAAUUUGUUGAAUAUCAAAUUUAUAUUUGUAAAUAUUAAUAUUUAAAGUGUUGACUGAUGCGCCAUGCCCAGUCUUAGGGGCAUGUAGUUUGUCACGUUUUGUUCGUUUC